AUCUGCCAGAGCCUGGAGUCUGCGAAGGCCGGGACCCGGUUCCCCGGCCCACAGUGGGGGUGUGCAAACCCGAGAGAACUGGUCGCUGAAACCUCUACAACUUAGUUGACCGUAACUGCCAGAGCCCUGCCCUGAAUUCCUGUCCUUACUCCCUCUUUAAGAUUGCGUACCCACUGCAGAGUGCUGAAGACGGGGUAGCCACGAGGAAGUGCCGUCAGAAGCGAUAACUGACGAAGACUACUCCUGUCUGAUUGCAGUCAAGUCUUCACCACUUGCUGGUUCCCAGGAGUAAACUUGUUUGAACGGUGACCUAAUUGCUAUAUUCACCUAGGUUGCAAAUUCGUGAAGAAUCAGCAUCAUGUUUGGCAGCUGAGUAUUGGAGCCAGGAGCCUGCCAUGAGGUUUUGAGAACAGAGUGCUGUUUUAGAGCUGGCAGCAGCAUCUCAGCCCAAGAGAAGGUUAUAUUCCCAGAGGAUGUCAGUCCCAAGGACCAGUAGCUGCCAUCAGUUUGGAUUCUGAAAACUAACUGGCAUCAACACUGGGUGUAGAAACAUGCUUGCCUUAUGUAUCAGAGGACAUGCUCAGCAGAUCCAAGAGAUAUAUUUGGCAACUUUUUCUAGAAAAGGCACAUUGGGUAUCAUUCAUUACAUUCUUGAGUUUUUUUGGGUUUUUUUUUUUUUUUUUGAGACAGUCUUGCUGUAUUGCCCAGGCUGGAGUGUGGUGGCACAAUCACAGCUCAUUGCAUCCUCAAUCACCCAGGCCUAAGCAAUCCUCCCACCUUGUAGCUGGGACUACAGCUCACAGCACACCUGGCUAAAAUUUUUUUUUUGUUGAGACGGAUUCUCUAUGUUGCCCAGGCUGGUCUCAGGCUCCUGGGCUCAGAUGGUCCUCCUGCCUCAGCUUCCAAAGGCACAGGCCAAGUUGUAGCUUUGUCCCUUGCCAUCAUGCCCAACAAGAGGUUCUAUACCUUUUAAUGAAUUGACUUUCAUAAAUUGGUUAUGUUGGUGGGCAAAGUUCUUUAAGCUGGAAAUUGUAAAUUCCUCCUGAAAUGUUUUUUCAUGCAGUUACCAUGAACUAAUACUACAAUAAAGGAUGGUCUUGG
rnacentral:lncRNA from 1 species